rnacentral:rRNA from 1 species
AUCGACGAGUUUGAUCAUGGCUCAGGAUGAACGCUAGCGGCAGGCCUAAUACAUGCAAGUCAAGGGGAUAGCAAUAUCACCGGCGGACGGGUGCGUAACGCGUACACAACGUGCCCAAGGGCGGAGGAAAGCGGCGGGAAACUGCCGGUAAUACUCCAUGGUGUUGUUGAGUGGCAUCACUUAACAACUAAAGUACAAGCGCCCUUGGAUCGGUGUGCGUUCGAUUAGCUAGUUGGCGGGGUAACGGCCCACCAAGGCUUCGAUCGAUAGGGGGUGUGAGAGCAUGACCCCCCCACACGGGUACUGAGACGCGGACCCGACUCCUACGGGAGGCAGCAGUAAGGAAUAUUGGACAAUGGGCGGAAGCCUGAUCCAGCCAUGCCGCGUGAAGGACGAAGGCGCUCAGCGUUGUAAACUUCUUUUGGAUGGGAACAAUAACUCCGACUUGUCGGAACUUGAGGGUACCAUCAGAAUAAGCACCGGCUAACUCCGUG